rnacentral:rRNA from 1 species
GAUGAACGCUGGCGGCGUGCCUAAUACAUGCAAGUCGAGCGCACGGACGAGAAGCUUGCUUCUCUGAUGUUAGCGGCGGACGGGUGAGUAACACGUGGAUAACCUACCUAUAAGUCUGGGAUAACUUCGGGAAACCGGAGCUAAUACCGGAUAAUCUUUUGAACCGCAUGGUUCUAAAGUGAAAGACGGUCUUGCUGUCACUUAUAGAUGGAUCCGCGCUGCAUUAGCUAGUUGGUAGGGUGACGGCCUACCAAGGCAACGAUGCAUAGCCGGCCUGGGAGGGUGAACGGGAAAAUUGGGACAGAGAUACGGCCCAGACUCCUACGGGAGGCAGCAGUGGGGAAUAUUGCACAAUGGGCGAAAGCCUGAUGCAGCGACGAAGAGUGAGGGAUGGAGGCCUUCGGGUUGUGAAACUCUUUCGCUCAUGGUCAAGCCGAAAAAAUGGUUGUGGUGAGGGUAGUGGGUAAAGAAGCGCCGGCUAACUACGUG